rnacentral:tRNA from 1 species
GGGCCGGUGGCAGAGCCGGGCUAUUGCAGCACUCAGAGUCAUAGGCCGGGCACGCACGGGCAACUCGACGGUGUGUGGGGCCGCUGGCGUGCCAUGCCCCACCGGGGGUUCAAAUCCCCUCCGGCCCG